rnacentral:rRNA from 1 species
AUACGGAGGGUGCGAGCGUUAAUCGGAAUUACUGGGCGUAAAGCGUACGUAGGCGGUUCGUUAAGUUAGAUGUGAAAGCCCCGGGCUUAACCUGGGAACUGCAUUUAAAACUGGCGAACUAGAGUUGAGUAGAGGGGAGUGGAAUUUCAGGUGUAGCGGUGAAAUGCGUAGAGAUACGAAGGAACACCAGUGGCGAAGGCGACUCCCUGGACUCGAACUGACGCUGAGGUACGAAAGCGUGGGUAGCAAACGGGAUUAGAAACCCCAGUAGUCC